CGUUAGCCGUGGUAGGCAGUUCACCUAGGAGAGCAAACUCCGAACAACAAACCCGGGCAGGUGGAGCUCGUUAGCCGUGGUAGGCAGUUCACCUAGGAGAGCAAACUCUAAACAAACCCGGGCAGGUGGAGCUCGUUAGCCGUGGUAGGCAGUUCACCUAGGAGAGCAAACUCUAAACAAACCCGGGCAGGUGGAGCUCGUUAGCCGUGGUAGGCAGUUCACCUAGGAGAGCAAACUCCGAACAACAAACCCGGGCAGGUGGAGCUCGUUAGCCGUGGUAGGCAGUUCACCUAGGAGAGCAAACUCUAAACAAACCCGGGCAGGUGGAGCUCGUUAGCCGUGGUAGGCAAUCUGCCUAGGAGAGCAAACUCUAAACAAACCCGGGCAGGUGGGGCUCGUUAGCCGUGGUAGGCAAUCUGCCUAGGAGAGCAAACUCUAAACAAACCCGGGCAGGUGGAGCUCGUUAGCCGUGGUAGGCAGUUCACCUAGGAGAGCAAACUCCGAACAACAAACCCGGGCAGGUGGAGCUCGUUAGCCGUGGUAGGCAGUUCACCUAGGAGAGCAAACUCCGAACAACAAACCCGGGCAGGUGGAGCUCGUUAGCCGUGGUAGGCAGUUCACCUAGGAGAGCAAACUCCGAACAACAAACCCGGGCAGGUGGAGCUCGUUAGCCGUGGUAGGCAGUUCACCUAGGAGAGCAAACUCUAAACAAACCCGGGCAGGUGGAGCUCGUUAGCCGUGGUAGGCAGUUCACCUAGGAGAGCAAACUCUAAACAAACCCGGGCAGGUGGAGGUCGUUAGCCGUGGUAGGCAGUUCACCUAGGAGAGCAAACUCCGAACAAUAAACCCGGGCAGGUGGAGCUCGUUAGCCGUGGUAGGCAGUUCACCUAGGAGAGCAAACUCUAAACAAACCCGGGCAGGUGGAGCUCGUUAGCCGUGGUAGGCAGUUCACCUAGGAGAGCAAACUCUAAACAAACCCGGGCAGGUGGAGCUCGUUAGCCGUGGUAGGCAGUUCACCUAGGAGAGCAAACUCCGAACAACAAACCCGGGCAGGUGGAGCUCGUUAGCCGUGGUAGGCAGUUCACCUAGGAGAGCAAACUCCGAACAAUAAACCCGGGCAGGUGGAGCUCGUUAGCCGUGGUAGGCAGUUCACCUAGGAGAGCAAACUCCGAACAACAAACCCGGGCAGGUGGAGCUCGUUAGCCGUGGUAGGCAGUUCACCUAGGAGAGCAAACUCCGAACAACAAACCCGGGCAGGUGGAGCUCGUUAGCCGUGGUAGGCAGUUCACCUAGGAGAGCAAACUCUAAACAAACCCGGGCAGGUGGAGCUCGUUAGCUAUGGUAGGCAAUUCGCCUAGGAGAGGGACAACUCCGAACAAUAAGCCCGGGCAGGUGGAGGUCGUUAGCCGUGGUAGGCAGUUCACCUAGGAGAGCAAACUCCGAACAAUAAACCCGGGCAGGUGGUGCCCGUUAGAUGUCGUAGACAAUCCACGUUUUGGGAAAACCAAAGAAAAGGAAAAUAAAAAAAGAACACCAGAAAAAACAAACACAGAUCAUCCACCUUCAGGCCCUAAUUAACAUUGACAAAAUUAUGGAUGGGUCUUUUCUGGGGAGAAAAAGGCUCAUCCAGACCAAGGAACAUCAACAAACGGAUGAUAUAGAAUAGAACACUGAAAGAUACUGAAAAGAAAACGAACAGAAAGAACAUCAAGAAAAGUACAAAGAAACAUCAUCCACCUUUCGGCCCUCAGUAACAUCACCAAAAUUCUGGGUGGGUCUUUUCUGGGGAGAAAAAGGCUCAUCCAGACCAAAGAACAUCAACAAGGGAUGAUGUAGAAAAGAACAUCAAGAAAGAAUGAAAAAGAGAAAAAGAAAAGAAAAAACAUCGAAAAAGAAAA